AUGUCUCACGUUCGAUCCAUCACCACACUUGAGAGCUUCAAAGAACUGCAUUCUUGUUUGCUGAAGUUUCAGAUAUUACAAGUUCUGGAUCUUGAAAGUUGCAGGGACUUGUAA
rnacentral:rRNA from 1 species